rnacentral:rRNA from 1 species
CCUACGGGAGGCAGCAGUGAGGAAUAUUGGUCAAUGGACGCAAGUCUGAACCAGCCAUGCCGCGUGCAGGAAGACGGCUCUAUGAGUUGUAAACUGCUUUUGUACGAGGGUAAACGCAGAUACGCGUAUCUGUCUGAAAGUAUCGUACGAAUAAGGAUCGGCUAACUCCGUGCCAGCAGCCGCGGUAAUACGGAGGAUUCAAGCGUUAUCCGGAUUUAUUGGGUUUAAAGGGUGCGUAGGCGGUCGGAUAAGUUAGAGGUGAAAUCCCGAGGCUCAACCUCGGAAUUGCCUCUGAUACUGGUCGGCUAGAGAGUAGUGGCGGUAGGCGGAAUGUAUGGUGUAGCGGUGAAAUGCUUAGAGAUCAUACAGAACACCGAUUGCGAAGGCAGCUUACCAAGCUACUACUGACGUUGAGGCACGAAAGCGUGGGGAGCGAACAGGAUUAGAUACCCUGGUAGUC